GGGGGCGUAGUUCAGUUUGGUUAGAACGUCGGCCUGUCACGUCGAAGGUCACGGGUUCGAACCCCGUCGUCCCCG
rnacentral:tRNA from 1 species